AAAUCCGUAAAUAAUUUUAAGAAACUCGAAGGCACACGAGAUAUUAGAAGAUAGUAGCUAACACGAAGCGAGAAAAACAUGGGUUGGGGAACUUAUAGACCAUGCGUAAAAUCAAUCCAGCCCAAAAGAUGUGAAGAGCUUGCAGCACCAUUAGCAGCACAUUGAAAAAGUAGUAGCCCGCAAAGGGUUCAAAGACCUCCAUGGACAGCACAAGGGUGGUGUGGAUGAUUCUGCACAUCAACAAAGAAUUGUUUAGAUCCGGAGCAGCAGAGAGCCAUAAAAACCCAGCUCCAGCAUGUAGUACCAGUAAUGAGCUCGCUCCAUGGGCUGAGGGAGAAAACGU